rnacentral:rRNA from 1 species
GUCUACGGCUACACCACCCUGAACACGCCCCAUCUUGUUUGAUCUUGAAAGCUAAGCAGGGUCAGAUCUGGUUAGUGCGUGGAUGGGAGACCGCCUGGGAAUACCGGGUGCUUUGGCUU